AUUGAACGCUGGCGGCAGGCUUAACACAUGCAAGUCGAGCGGAAACGAUGGUAGCUUGCUACCAGGCGUCGAGCGGCGGACGGGUGAGUAAUACUUAGGAAUCUACCUAGUAGUGGGGGAUAGCUCGGGGAAACUCGAAUUAAUACCGCAUACGACCUACGGGAGAAAGGGGGCAACUUGUUGCUCUCGCUAUUAGAUGAGCCUAAGUCGGAUUAGCUAGAUGGUGGGGUAAAGGCCUACCAUGGCGACGAUCUGUAGCUGGUCUGAGAGGAUGAUCAGCCACACCGGGACUGAGACACGGCCCGGACUCCUACGGGAGGCAGCAGUGGGGAAUAUUGGACAAUGGGGGCAACCCUGAUCCAGCCAUGCCGCGUGUGUGAAGAAGGCCUUUUGGUUGUAAAGCACUUUAAGCAGUGAAGAAGACUCUAUGGUUAAUACCCAUAGACGAUGACAUUAGCUGCAGAAUAAGCACCGGCUAACUCUGUGCCAGCAGCCGCGGUAAUACAGAGGGUGCAAGCGUUAAUCGGAAUUACUGGGCGUAAAGCGAGCGUAGGUGGCUUGAUAAGUCAGAUGUGAAAUCCCCGGGCUUAACCUGGGAACUGCAUCUGAUACUGUUAGGCUAGAAUAGGUGAGAGGAAGGUAGAAUUCCAGGUGUAGCGGUGAAAUGCGUAGAGAUCUGGAGGAAUACCGAUGGCGAAGGCAGCCUUCUGGCAUCAUACUGACACUGAGGUUCGAAAGCGUGGGUAGCAAACAGG
rnacentral:rRNA from 1 species